CACAAAGAGAAAGUUAAGAUCUACGUAAAGAGCUUUAUUUAUUUAUCUGAUAUUAAAAUGUCUUUUAAAAAACGUCAUAGAGAUGAUAGUUGUUUGUAUUUCAUGCCAUUUUGCUUUAGCAACUUUCGUUGACAAAAUAAAGAUUUGGCAAUUCUAUGUCGGAAGGGAAGUUCCCAGGUCCAAAUACUUGGAGUUGUUGCUGGAGAGUCAUUGUGAUACGUGGAAAUAAGGGACAGGCACAACGUGGACAGGCACAACGCUGAUUACUUAACUCUUAGGAGGACAGGCAAAGAUUUGGAACUUCCAAACAAUUUCUGCGCACGAGGAUAGCAGAGGUAGCCCAUGCCUACAACGGAGGCUCCGGGGAAGUGCGGGGAGAGGCAGUUUGAUUUGUUUUGACGGCUUUAAUCCCCGGUUUCUCCCUUGAGAGGUGUGAACUCUUCAGGAGGCCUCCGGGUCUCUCCUGUACCGUGUGCUCCUUUUCCCUGCUAGCUGUUUCCCUGCGCGGCUCCUCCCUCCCCCGGAGGGGAUGGAAUGUGUCCUUUCUCCGCAUGCAGCUCUGACUUUAUCACCCAUCUUCCCGUCUUUCAAAGCAAGGGCUGACAACUGUGAUUUCUCAUCUCAUCUCCAGGUGCGAAGGAAAUUGCCCUUGUAAGUGUUAGCGGGGCCCAGGCCCCCCGCCCCUGGGCUUGCUGCAGCGCCUGUCAGCCGGAUGCGCGCUAAAGAGAUUAAAGACGGUGUGCUGGAACUUUCAAACAUCUUUGCCCAGAUCAGUCCAAAAUUCCGAAGUUAAGAACUUGCCUGAAUCAAUAUCAUAGUAAUUUCAAAUCUUAAGCUGUCCCUGCUAGGGUAUUUCAGUCAUUUCACGGAAACAAGACAGCCGCUGAGAGGCCCUAGAAACAAAGGUCUGUAAAGAGGACGGGGCGGGGCUGGAGCUGGUUUCUCAGGUGGGAAAGGGAUUCCAGGUCCUAAAUGGCAACAUUCAAUUAGCUCCAUCGCUUCUUAUUCUAGUUGGGAUUUUGCUCCGCACAUGGUAUGCCUGAGGCCUCACAGCAGUUUUAGUUGAAAAAGUGAACAACCAUAACAAAAGGAAAGAGGGGUCUCAGAGGCAGAGAGGACCACAGCCUGGAGAGGGUGGGGCUAACAGGGGAUGAGGACAUGGGGGCAGCUUCCAGGGCUGCCUCUGAAAGGGGUUUUCUAAUCUUCAGCCCCUGGAGACGUGGGCAGCGGUACUGAGCCGACUGCAGAGCCUGGAGGCUGGCCAAGGUGGAGAGAAUGAGAACUCAUUGUUGCUGAGGUGAUCACAACUUAGAAGACGAAACUGAGGCUUGGGCAAACAGCAGGGACUUGAAUUCUUGUCUUUGUUCCACCGUGUGACUUUGGGAGUGAUAUGCCACCCUCCUGGGCCCCAGUUCCCUCAGAAUGUGUCCAGAAAACGUUCCUUCCAGCUCUGACAUCUUAUUCUAGGACCCUAAGCUUCUUCUCACUGUUGUUCCCUCCCGCGAGGCAGCUCCCUGAAGUCUGGGGCUGUCACCCUGGCCUGGGCUGAGCUCUGGGUGACCCAGUGAGCAGAGCCCUGGGGGUAGGGAGGGAAGGGAGUGGGGCCUGAGCCAACUGGAGUCAGCAACUGGUCCAGCCACAAACCCGUGACAGCAGCCCACCACAAGACUAAGAAUCGCCCGAGGGGAUGGAUGGCAUCUGCAGACCAGUGCUCUAGAACAAACGGUGCUACCCAGAGGCGGCCAGCCCCUGUGCUCGACACACGAGCAGGUGAAAUUUAGGAGGCUAAGCUAGUUGUAGGAAUUUUUCUCAUGACACAAAUGCACACCCACCAGCUUCGUGCCCACCCUCGGGGCUUUGAUCCCCAUCUCCUAUUUACGGACUCCUUCCAUUUCCCUCCAGUCUUUUCCAAUUAUACUCACAGACGAAAGCUCAGACUCCUCCAAGAUCCUUUUUCUUGUCUUGAUUGCUGUUGUUAAUAAAGCAGAGACAAUGAAUUGAAUGCCUCCUGACGACCUCGCCCCACAACACAGAAUGACCUUGCUUGGAUAGAUUAUUAUUCAUUGUCUCCCAGAGUGGCAAGAUGUUGGGUAAAACUCAGAUUCCAACACAUGCCCCAGUAUGGAUGAACAUUGGGAACAUUAUGCUAAGUGAAGUAAGCCUGCCACAAAAGGACAUAAGUGUAUGAUUCUAUGUAUAUGAAAUACCUAGAGUAAUAAAUUUAUAGAGAGAAAGUAAGCCUGAGAUUUCAAAGGGCUGGGAGGGGUGUGUGUGUGUGUGUGUGGAGUUAGUGUUUAAUUGGUACAGAAUUUUAGUUUGGGAAGAUGAAACUUUUCUGGAGAUGGGCGGUGGUGAUAGUUGCACAUGGUGUGAAUAUUUAAUGCUACAGAACUGUAUACUUUAAAAUGGUAAAUUUUAUGUUACAUAUUUUCACCACAAUUUUACAAAGUAGAGGGCUAAAUCCUUGCACAAAGGAACCUAGUUUUGUCCUCUAGUGGAUUUCUUUAGCCAGGGUAUCAAAUUCUGGUUUAUUGAAUUUGUCACCAGCUCUGGUGAAUUCUCAUUUGCAUAGUCAAUAGGGUAUGUUGAUCCUUGACUUUGUUUUGAAUUUUUGAUGCUUUUUUUUAUAGUGGACUUCCGUGGGCUCCUGAGAUGGCUGUUAUCACACCGAACAGUGCCUUCCUUGCUCACCAAGGUUGUGACUCAGUGAUUAAGAAACUCAGGUACCUGAAGAGAGAGCCUUGGAAGAGUUUUACCAGGAAAAUAUAUGAAGCAAUAGAUGUACAACAACGCCUUACUGUUCUGGGGGAGUCAGAAUCCAGACCUACACCCAACAACGUGCCUCACGUUUCGUCUCCAGCAUUCUGAAAUACUUUUGAGUGCUCCGAGGAUCUGGCGGAUGAAACUCUGGGAAGUGAAGAAACAGAUGCCUAUCCCAGGACACCUGAGGCAAUCAUCCUGGAAACAUCCACUCUCCACGUUGUGCCUCAAAGGAUUUCUGAGCUGUGGCUGCAAAGUCCUUUUCC